rnacentral:rRNA from 1 species
UUUAAUGAUGACACAUAUAUGUCAACUAUGAGUGUUGGCUCCAACAAUUCUCAUUGGUCUCAAACCAAUGAAGUGCAUGAAGAUGAUCAUGAGUUUGAGGUGGACAAAGAUGGUGAGGGUAUUAUCGAUGCACCGAAAGGAAGAGCGGGCAACUAAACCAUGAACGAAGACGUCUUGCUAUGUAGUACAUGAUUGCAUGUGUCUACGGAUGCCAACGUUGGAGGGGACCAAAGUAAAGAUACAUAUUGUGUCCGGUGUGCCUCACAUACCUUCGCAUGUUGCAGUUGGAGAUCUUGCGAACACCAUCUGAGCUUCUGA